GUAAAUUUGGAUUAACUACCCGUAACAUAUAAAGAUGGCAUCAUUUUUAUAUUAUAGCUACGGCGCUUGUUGAUGGGUGUGCGGCUGAUUAGGUAGUUGGCGGGGUAAUGGCCCACCAAGCCUGCGAUCAGUAGCUGAUGUGAGAGCAUGAUCAGCCACACGGGCACUGAGACACGGGCCCGACUCCUACGGGAGGCAGCAGUAAGGAAUAUUGGACAAUGGGCGCAAGCCUGAUCCAGCCAUGCCGCGUGAAGGAUUAAGGUCCUCUGGAUUGUAAACUUCUUUUAUAAGGGACGAAAAAAGGGAAUUCUUUCUCACUUGACGGUACCUUAUGAAUAAGCACCGGCUAACUCCGUG
rnacentral:rRNA from 1 species